GCCCAGAUGGGAUUAGCUAGUAGGUGGGGUAAAGGCUCACCUAGGCGACGAUCCCUAGCUGGUCUGAGAGGAUGACCAGCCACACUGGAACUGAGACACGGUCCAGACUCCUACGGGAGGCAGCAGUGGGGAAUAUUGCACAAUGGGCGCAAGCCUGAUGCAGCCAUGCCGCGUGUAUGAAGAAGGCCUUCGGGUUGUAAAGUACUUUCAGCGGGGAGGAAGGGAGUAAAGUUAAUACCUUUGCUCAUUGACGUUACCCGCAGAAGAAGCACCGGCUAACUCCGUGCCAGCAGCCGCGGUAAUACGGAGGGUGCAAGCGUUAAUCGGAAUUACUGGGCGUAAAGCGCACGCAGGCGGUUUGUUAAGUCAGAUGUGAAAUCCCCGGGCUCAACCUGGGAACUGCAUCUGAUACUGGCAAGCUUGAGUCUCGUAGAGGGGGGUAGAAUUCCAGGUGUAGCGGUGAAAUGCGUAGAGAUCUGGAG
rnacentral:rRNA from 1 species